rnacentral:rRNA from 1 species
UACGGAGGGGGCUAGCGUUGUUCGGAAUUACUAGGCGUAAAGCGCACGUAGGCGGCUUUGUAAGUUAGAGGUGAAAGCCCGGGGCUCAACUCCGGAAUUGCCUUUAAGACUGCAUCGCUAGAAUUGUGGAGAGGUAAGUGGAAUUCCGAGUGUAGAGGUGAAAUUCGUAGAUAUUCGGAAGAACACCAGUGGCGAAGGCGACUUACUGGACACAUGUUGACGCUGAGGUGCGAAAGCGUGGGGAGCAAACAGG